rnacentral:sRNA from 1 species
GGCCCGGAAGCCCCGCGGGGGAUGCGCCGAGGGCCCCGCGUUCGCGCCGCGCAGAGCCAGGCCCGCGGCCCGAGCCCAUGAGCACCAUGCGCCUGCUGACGCUCGCCCUGCUGUUCUCCUGCUCCGUCGCCCGUGCCGCGUGCGACCCCAAGAUCGUCAACAUUGGCGCGGUGCUGAGCACGCGGAAGCACGAGCAGAUGUUCCGCGAGGCCGUGAACCAGGCCAACAAGCGGCACGGCUCCUGGAAGAUUCAGCUCAAUGCCACCUCCGUCACGCACAAGCCCAACGCCAUCCAGAUGGCUCUGUCGGUGUGCGAGGACCUCAUCUCCAGCCAGGUCUACGCCAUCCUAGUUAGCCAUCCACCUACCCCCAACGACCACUUCACUCCCACCCCUGUCUCCUACACAGCCGGCUUCUACCGCAUACCCGUGCUGGGGCUGACCACCCGCAUGUCCAUCUACUCGGACAAGAGCAUCCACCUGAGCUUCCUGCGCACCGUGCCGCCCUACUCCCACCAGUCCAGCGUGUGGUUUGAGAUGAUGCGUGUCUACAGCUGGAACCACAUCAUCCUGCUGGUCAGCGACGACCACGAGGGCCGGGCGGCUCAGAAACGCCUGGAGACGCUGCUGGAGGAGCGUGAGUCCAAGGCAGAGAAGGUGCUGCAGUUUGACCCAGGGACCAAGAACGUGACGGCCCUGCUGAUGGAGGCAAAAGAGCUGGAGGCCCGGGUCAUCAUCCUUUCUGCCAGCGAGGACGAUGCUGCCACUGUAUACCGCGCAGCCGCGAUGCUGAACAUGACGGGCUCCGGGUACGUGUGGCUGGUCGGCGAGCGCGAGAUCUCGGGGAACGCCCUGCGCUACGCCCCGGACGGUGAGUGCUGGGCCUUGGCGGGGUCCCCGAACGGGGAGGCCCCCACGGGCUCUGAGUCGCAUGCUCGCCUAGGCAUCCUCGGGCUGCAGCUCAUCAACGGCAAGAACGAGUCGGCCCACAUCAGCGACGCCGUGGGCGUGGUGGCCCAGGCCGUGCACGAGCUCCUCGAGAAGGAGAACAUCACCGACCCGCCGCGGGGCUGCGUGGGCAACACCAACAUCUGGAAGACCGGGCCGCUCUUCAAGAGAGUGCUGAUGUCUUCCAAGUAUGCGGAUGGGGUGACUGGUCGCGUGGAGUUCAAUGAGGAUGGGGACCGGAAGUUCGCCAACUACAGCAUCAUGAACCUGCAGAACCGCAAGCUGGUGCAAGUGGGCAUCUACAAUGGCACCCACGUCAUCCCUAAUGACAGGAAGAUCAUCUGGCCAGGCGGAGAGACAGAGAAGCCUCGAGGGUACCAGAUGUCCACCAGACUGAAGAUUGUGACGAUCCACCAGGAGCCCUUCGUGUACGUCAAGCCCACGCUGAGUGAUGGGACAUGCAAGGAGGAGUUCACAGUCAACGGCGACCCAGUCAAGAAGGUGAUCUGCACCGGGCCCAACGACACGUCGCCGGGCAGCCCCCGCCACACGGUGCCUCAGUGUUGCUACGGCUUUUGCAUCGACCUGCUCAUCAAGCUGGCACGGACCAUGAACUUCACCUACGAGGUGCACCUGGUGGCGGAUGGCAAGUUCGGCACACAGGAGCGGGUGAACAACAGCAACAAGAAGGAGUGGAAUGGGAUGAUGGGCGAGCUGCUCAGCGGGCAGGCAGACAUGAUCGUGGCGCCGCUAACCAUAAACAACGAGCGCGCGCAGUACAUCGAGUUUUCCAAGCCCUUCAAGUACCAGGGCCUGACUAUUCUGGUCAAGAAGGUGGGCAGGGGCCGGGUGGCGGGGUGGGGGGGAGUCCCUGGAGGGCCCGGGCCGCGCUGACCUCGCGUCCCUCCGCAGGAGAUUCCCCGGAGCACGCUGGACUCGUUCAUGCAGCCGUUCCAGAGCACACUGUGGCUGCUGGUGGGGCUGUCGGUGCACGUGGUGGCCGUGAUGCUGUACCUGCUGGACCGCUUCAGCCCCUUCGGCCGGUUCAAGGUGAACAGCGAGGAGGAGGAGGAGGACGCACUGACCCUGUCCUCGGCCAUGUGGUUCUCCUGGGGCGUCCUGCUCAACUCCGGCAUCGGGGAAGGUAAGGCCCCGCCCGGCCCGCCUGGUCCCGCCCCGGCCCUCUAGGGUCUGACAGAGCCCCCCGCCCGCCCACAGGCGCCCCCAGAAGCUUCUCGGCGCGCAUCCUGGGCAUGGUGUGGGCCGGCUUUGCCAUGAUCAUCGUGGCCUCCUACACCGCCAACCUGGCGGCCUUCCUGGUGCUGGACCGGCCGGAGGAGCGCAUCACGGGCAUCAACGACCCUCGGCUGAGGAACCCCUCGGACAAGUUUAUCUACGCCACGGUGAAGCAGAGCUCCGUGGAUAUCUACUUCCGGCGCCAGGUGGAGCUGAGCACCAUGUACCGGCAUAUGGAGAAGCACAACUACGAGAGUGCGGCGGAGGCCAUCCAGGCCGUGAGAGACAACAAGCUGCAUGCCUUCAUCUGGGACUCGGCGGUGCUGGAGUUCGAGGCCUCGCAGAAGUGCGACCUGGUGACGACUGGAGAGCUGUUUUUCCGCUCGGGCUUCGGCAUAGGCAUGCGCAAAGACAGCCCCUGGAAGCAGAACGUCUCCCUGUCCAUCCUCAAGUCCCAUGAGAAUGGCUUCAUGGAAGACCUGGACAAGACGUGGGUUCGGUAUCAGGAAUGUGACUCGCGCAGCAACGCCCCUGCGACCCUUACUUUUGAGAACAUGGCAGGGGUCUUCAUGCUGGUAGCUGGGGGCAUCGUGGCCGGGAUCUUCCUGAUUUUCAUUGAGAUUGCCUACAAGCGGCACAAGGAUGCUCGCCGGAAGCAGAUGCAGCUGGCCUUUGCCGCCGUUAACGUGUGGAGGAAGAACCUGCAGGUAGGGCAGGCCACCCUCCGAGGCCUGGUGCCCAGGGCCCGGCCUGGCCACGGCCCUCCUCCAUCCCCGAAGGCCGUGGCACUGGCUCUGGCUCUGGUGGGCAGGACUGGAGCUAGGAGCCAUGGCCAGGGGCAGUGGUGAGUGCUCCCAGGGCACGGGGGCAGCACUGGUGGGGGGCUGCCUGCAGGUGGCUGCCCACUGCAAAGCCGGGGCCGAGGGAGGCCACGCACCCUGCUCCAAGCCUCCGCCUGGCCCCUCUGUCUCCAGAGUCGCCCGCCGGUACCCAUUCCAUAGGAAGGCAAUCAGGCAGGGUAAGACAGGGGCCCGCCUGUGUAUGGCACGUGAGUCCAAGAUGCAUUUUGCCCUCCGCCGACCCAAGCCCCUUGACACCCUUCGGAGACCACCCCCCCCUUUCCUGCUAUGUCCUUGUGCUCCGUGACUCUAAUCCGAAUUGGGCCAGGUCCGGUCCUGCCUGGUGCCCAGGUUGUAUCCAUGAGAAUUUGCCACCAGCAAGGGCAGCCACGGCCCACCUGGGACAGGGUGGGCAGUGGGCCUGUACAGGCCUAAGGGCUCGUGGCCCGCGGUCGAGUUCCGGUUCACUCCGUCUCUUCUCUUUCUCUGGGUGCCGUCCUGGAGCCUGUGUCCUGAGAUGAAGCCGACAGUGCGGCCAGGGCUGCUGGGGGAUGGGGGUUGCUGGAGGCUCCACACCUCUCAUCCACCCGCUCUUGCUCUUGGCCCCCACAGGUCCCCUGGGGACCUGGCCGCUGCCAGCACUGGCGGGCACAGGCCACCUGGCCAUCAGACCUGAGGCCAGAGUCCCGGGAGCUGCCUCUGUCACUCCAAUUCCACCUCGACACCUGCCUCCAGCCCUCGGCCCCUUCCUGAAUCUUGGUGUGUGCCCCUUGGGGGUCAGUGGCCUCCACGCAGACAGCUGGUGUGGCCUGAGGGGCAACUCCUCCAGUCCUCAGAGGACUCCUCCUCCUCGGGACGCCUGUAAGCCAGGGCCACCCAGGAGCCAGGGAGCCAGGCGGACCUCCCAGGAAGAGCCAGCCGAGAGCCCCCAAGCCCAGCCCCAGCACGAGCAAGGUCAGGCCCGAGACCCCGGGCAGGAGAAGAGGCCACCCUCGAACGUCCGCUGUCGGCCCGUCUGUCCAGCACAGGGAGGCAGGCAGGAGCGAGGGCCCAAGUGGCCGGCCAGGCUGGGCAGCGGCCCACCCAGGAGCAGGCGAGGGCAGGUGUGGCCACCACCCUAGCCAUCUAAUCACUUAUACAUAUUCAUUUUAGGAUAGAAAGAGUGGUAGAGCAGAGCCUGACCCUAAAAAGAAAGCCACAUUUAGGGCUAUCACCUCCACCCUGGCUUCCAGCUUCAAGAGGCGUAGGUCCUCCAAAGACACGGUAAGGGGGAGAGCACCCCAGUCCCGCGUCCGACUCCACCUGCCCUGCCCUGCGUGUGUCUCCCGCCCCAUCACCCCGCCCCGGACCCUGGGCUCCUGUGGCCCACUCUGCCCCUGUCUCCCUGUG